rnacentral:rRNA from 1 species
GACGAACGCUGGCGGCGUGCUUAACACAUGCAAGUCGAACGGAAAGGCCCCUUUUGGGGUGCUCGCUUGGCGAACGGGUGAGUAACACGUGCGUAACCUGCCCUUGACUUCCUGAUAACUUCCGUCAACUGGGGCUAAUACCGGACAGGAAUCCUUGCUGCCUGGAGGGUGGGGGUAGGCUUCGGGGGGUUUGGAUGGACUGGCUGCUUAUCAGGCUGUUGGUGGGGUAGUUGCUUACCAAGGCUUUGACUGGUGGCCGGCCCGGGAGGGCGGCCGGCCAACUUGGGACCGGGGUACGGCCCAGACUCCUACGGGGGGGAGGCGGGGGGAAUAUUGGACAAUUGGCGGGAGCCCGAUGGCACAACGCCCCGGGGGGGAUGACGGGCUUCCGGUUGUAAACCGGCUUCAGCAGGGGAGAAGGUGUGGGUGACGGUACCUGGAGAAGAAGCACCGGCUAACUACGUG